CGCUGGCCCGCAAGCGCCGCGCGCAGCCCUGGUUCCCGCCCGUGCCUCUUCCUCCACACUUUCCCGCAAGCUGAGGGAGCCGGCUCCCGCCUUGGCCAGCCCGGAAAGGGGCUCCCACGGUGCAGCGGUGGGCUGAAGGGCUCCUCAAGCACGGCCAGAGUGGGCGCCAAGGCCGAGGAGGCCCCGAGAGCGAGCGAGGGCUGCCAGUAUGCUGUCACCUCUCAUUAUUAUUUGCCGAUGGGAGUGGAGAAGGAGACUUGGUGAUAACAGGACUGAAAACCUUGUGUAGAAUGCUUUUACUGGUUCUUUGUCAUCUGGAGACACUGACACUUCUAAGUUCUAUAAUUAGUUUUAAAGAGCCUACAGUCCAUAUGCUUCAGUCUAUUGUGUCUUGAUCUAAGAAGAGAUGCAGAACAGAUGCUAAGAAGACUUAGACGCAAUGAGCCCCAGAAACAACCUUAUCUUUCACCACCAUCUGCCUGGUUUAUUCUACUCCUCAAGUUCACCAAAAGCGUGCUGCCCUCAAGUUUUUCUACCUACUGUUUCUUCUGCUUGGAAUAUUCUUCCUCUAGGUAUGUAUAGACUUGUUCCUUAUUCCUUACACUUUCUGUUCAAAUGUCACCUUUUUGUAAGAUUGUGAAAAAAAAAAGAUCUAAAAUUAAA
rnacentral:lncRNA from 10 species